rnacentral:tRNA from 1 species
AUGUAGCCAAGUGAUCCA